UACACGUACUAGAUUUGGAGUAGGCUUCACUCUAGUACUCUGUCAGCUUUUACGAGUGCUGGACCAAUUAUAUGAAUAACUGAACAGAAUAGUGAUGGGCCACACUUUGCUUAUUAGUAGUUUAUUUUAGUCAAACGCAGAUUAUAUACACUUCUCGCACAAAGCGCAUUUUGUCCUAAUGCCUUCUUGAAUCAGUGUGCACACGUGCGAUCCUGCCCUAUUCUGUUCUAUCUUCCGAAGUAAACAUGCCUUCAAUAUAUUCUGGUUAAUGUCAUAAAGUGAAUGACUAUGACCAGGUCACUCAAUCUAAGAAACGUCUAACUAAUUUAUACCCUGCUUCUCUGAAGCAUGCCGGUUGGCUGUCUUCUGCUCAGUCGCUAUACAUGGGGAUAUUAUUUAUGGCCCUCCUAUCCAAACAAAAUCUAUGUCACAAAGCAAAGGACACACCAUAUAUAGGCAGCCCUCUUAUAUAUCCUGGUUGGUAAUCCACAGAAUGUACCAGAUAUUGGAGUUAAAUUUAUAAUGCCAUUCAAGGCAAACAGUGUUACUAAGAAAUUUUCUCCACAAUAUAAUAUGAAAAUCUAAGAUAGCACUCACAAUAUUAAAUAGCAAAAAUAGCUACAUUGUUGGACUUCACAUGUAUAAACUAAUCGGGAAAGAAAUAGACAAUUUAUUUUGCUCUCUGGUCAAGAAAUAAUUUUUUUGUCAAAUUUCAAUUGACUUCUUGACUGAGUGGCUUUAUUAUAUGUAAUUAUAAGCUGUCAACGGUCUUUUACUCCUGUUGAUGUUUCGAAAUAUUUCAAAUUCAAAUUUAAUUUGUCGCAUAUCAAUCAUACACAAUCAUAGACAGUAUGACUCGCAGUGAAAUGUUGUUUAACGACAGUCUGUCACGUCAAUACAACAGUGGGAGCGUUAGAUAAGAAAUUACUUGUAGGAAUCUAACAGUUGGGGGGUGUUCAGAUGCAGUAUUAUGUGCAAAUAGUAACAUAUGCAAAUAAAGCAAUAAUAAAGCAGUGCAACAGCAGGCAGAGGUAGUCCUAUAAGUAAUAAAUAGAUUGUAAUAGGAAUAGGGGGUGAUUAACAACCAAGUCAGUCCUACAGUAAGUGUUGCCCUGGUUGCCCUGACCAGGGAGUUAGUAGGACAGAUCCUGUGUAGUGUUAACACCAAGGUACCAGAAACUGGGGCUUCAUUGAUUGCUCAUUGCGGAUGAUGGCCCCUCUCCUGCUUUAUGCCUAAAGUCCACAAUUAACUCCUUUGUCUUGUUGAUGUUCAGGGGGAGGUUAUUGUCCUAGCACCAGUUUUCCAGGAUUUUAAUCUCCUCCAGGUAGGCCUUCUCAUCAUUAUCAGAGAUUCGGCCCACCACAACAGUGUUGUCAGCAAACUUGACCAUGGUGGUAGAAUUAGAAGUGGCCAGACAGUCGUAGGUGUACAAUGAGAACCGCAGGGGGCUCAGUACACAGCUCUGAGGGGUUGCAUUGCUGAGGGUGAGAGACGAUAAGACAUGUUUGCCCACCCAUACCGCUUGCGGUCUCUUGGUCAGGAAGUUGGAGAUCCACUGGCAUCGUGAUGGAUUGAGUUCCAGGUCCUCCAACUUCUUGGUGAGUCUUGAGGGAAUUAUGGUGUUACUGUAAAUGCUGACCUCUAGUCAACAAGCAGCAUAUUAACAUAAUUACCCUUCCUGGUUUCCAAAUGACUUGUGGCAUCGAUGGUGGAGCAAUUGGGAUGGUACGCAAAUUGUAAUAGGUCCAGGGUAUCAGGGAGUGAAGAGGUGAUGAAGUCUGACCAGCAUAUCACAACUGAGGUCACGGCUGCUGCACGAUCGUCAUUGAAACAGGCAGGCUGGUUUCUUCAGUACAGGAGCAAUAAUAGAUUUUUUAAAAGACGCGGCGAUUAGCGAUUGUGCCAGUGAGACGUUGAGUAUCUCUGUGAACACUGGUGUUAGCUGGUCGGCACAGGCUCCAGGGACUCCACCUGAGAUGCCUUCAGGUCCUGCUGCUUUCCUGGAGCUCAUUCUCCGGAGGUCCCUCCUCGCAUCAUACUCCGGAAUGGAGAAAGCAUUUUCUGCUCGGACACUUUCCGUCUGAAUGCUGCCAUCACCACCACCGCUUCGUCUUCGCUCUUGUUGCAGGUUUAAAAACUGUAUUUCUGCAUCAGCCCCGUUUUGACUUUACACUAAUAGUAAUGCAUAUGUCACCAGAAUUCAAUGAUAUAAUUCUGCCUACUGAUGUAAACAUAUUUGUUAAAUUAAUUAUGCAAAAAUAAAUUCUACUUGUUCUCCUCUGUUUCAACUGGUUUCUUUUAGAUUGUCUGUUUCUCUCCACAGAGAAGUGUGGAGUGUGUGCGUGUGUGUGUGUAAUGUUUGUUUGACUGUGCUUAAUUAUUUUAGAAUCAUUUGGAAUUUCAGAAUUAAUCUGGGAAUAAAUAAAAAUGAAUCACUGAAGUAGAAGUCAAUAUCUAACAACAGUACAAAUGAACCUUUGCUUCCUUGUUUUAUCUUUGUGGCUAAAGCACAUAAAUUAUAAUCCCAAUAAGUAUAAUUUUCCAUAUAAUAACAAUAACAUUUUCUGCUAAAUUAUUGCGAGACUCCCUCCUUUAUUCCUUUAUAAAAAUUUUAAGUAGCUGAGUUUAUGUCAAUUCAUAAUAUAAGACUACCGCCACUCACUUGAGAUUUGAUAGAUUAAAUAUGUCAGACCUCUAAGACUCCUUUAGUGAUACACAAACUCUCAAAAAAUAUACAGACUUGUCAGUGGUUUAGGUCAUAACUGACAUCCUUCAGAGUUAUUUAUAUCUGACCUGGAAUAAAUAGUUUCAUGACCAAGUUAGAAUGCACAGCAGAGCGCCUGGAUUUAUUUAUUGCUUUUUAAACUUUUUCUAAGUUGCAGGGCUGAACUCAUUUGCAGUGUCACUCACAGCACAUUCAAGGACACUCGAAGUCACUGCGAUGUCCUGGCUAGAUAUUCACUUUGUGAGAGUCAUCUUACAUCAAUAGCAGCUUAUAGCAGUCUGUCUUUGGAAAGACUUGGGUUAAAAAUAAUAAUGUUUGAACUAAGCAGGCAGAGCCGGCUCAAAGACCAUUAAUAUAAUUCAAGCAUACAGUCCUGACAGACCAGGUGAAGACCUCACAACCCACUUGCACUGUUGACUGAACCCUGAGCUUUGUGCUUUUCUGAUGAUUAAUGCAUCACAAUGCUUCCUCUCAGAAUACAUCAGUGUAUUUUUUCUUGAAGGCCAUCAGCUAGUGAAAUGGUCAGGGAUGAGGAUCUGUAUCCCAACUGGUACCAGUUACCGGCCCAGAGGAGAUGCUGUUCAUGUGCCUUUCAGCAAAGGACUUCCUGCCACAUGUGGCCAGUGCUAAACAGAAAAAGUGCAAUUUAUCAGUCAAUGUCCACCGUUUAAUAAGAGAACCUCUGUCUCCCUGCCACAGCAUUCUCGUGUGAAAGAAACCAAAGUUCAUGGGAUGAGAGAGGUCACCCUAAUAUGUUAAUUGAGGAAAUGUAUAACAGGUCCGUUGAAGUGCCUUAAUAUUAUAAAGUGCCCUGAAGAUGUUAAAUGGCAGCAAUUAAUGUUAAAAUAGGUCAGGGGUCACAGAAUCUCCAUUACAUUUUGAAUUAGCUGGAGGACAGCUCAGCAAUAAGGUCAGAUAUUUUGACGUUAAGCAUUCACAUUGUGAACAGACCAUAGUCUGAUUUGGUUUAAACCAUUAAAUCUAAAAACUAAACAGUGAAAUCUUAGUUUUCCCUUUGGCCUACAUUUUAAAGCACUGUAAGUUCUUAUUAAAUGUAUAAAAAUUAUAAUCAUUUGUAGUUUAAGAAUAUUAUAAAUAAAUGCAAAAGUGCACAAUCAGUUGCUUAACUACAGUCAAUAGCAUAAUAAAAAUUAUAUGAAUAUUAAGAUUAUUAUUUUACCAAGGAGGAAUUAUUUUAUAGACUGAUAUACACAAUUUGUAAGUACUAUGUUGUUUUUUGCCAAAGACAUGUAGAUUUUGGCGCACACUUUGGUAAUUAAUCACAAACACAAUCAUGUUGUAAUAUCAUCAAAAAAAAGAUUUUAUAGUCUGUGUUCACUAUGUACUGACCCCAUGUUUGUUCAUCAUUAAUCAGUCAUAACAGUUCAUUUAUUUCACACAGUAACUAUAUUUGUUUAUGAUUUGUACUUAUUAAGUUACUUAUGUCCAUUCAAAUAAAGUGUUUGAUUUUAAAAAUCUUUGCUUAAGUUACUAUUCUCCCUUUGGAGUAUAUAAAAUAAAUGCAGUUAAAGUUAACACAAUCAAAGAAAUAAUAACAUGUUGCAACUUCAAAGCACCUGUUAUUCAAGAUAUAUUAUUAUUUGUAAUUACUUGUUUAUUUGUAUGUUUUCCCAUUACAUAACAAUGCUCCUUAUUAUUAUAUUGUUUAUUGUGCUAUUGUAUAAUAUAAAAACAAUAACUAAU